UUAAAUUGAAGAGUUUGAUCAUGGCUCAGAUUGAACGCUGGCGGCAGGCCUAACACAUGCAAGUCGAACGGUAACAGAAAGCAGCUUGCUGCUUUGCUGACGAGUGGCGGACGGGUGAGUAAUGUCUGGGAAACUGCCUGAUGGAGGGGGAUAACUACUGGAAACGGUAGCUAAUACCGCAUAACGUCGCAAGACCAAAGAGGGGGACCUUCGGGCCUCUUGCCAUCGGAUGUGCCCAGAUGGGAUUAGCUUGUUGGUGGGGUAACGGCUCACCAAGGCGACGAUCCCUAG
rnacentral:rRNA from 1 species